UGUCGGGGUUCAGAACGUUGAUCUUCUGCACAUCCUUGUUGUAUACCGAGUGUGCUGGACCGAGAGGAUGGUGCUGUGAAUCCUCGAACACAGUAAAACAUUCCAGUUGACUUUUUCCAUCUGGUACACAUCCUCGCCUUGGGACCUGUCGCCUUGGAUUGGACACAAAAGAUUCCAGCAGGAUGUUUUCCUUUAAAGAGAUGGAGCCUUGCUGGGUGGUGGUGGCGGCACAUGUCUUUAAUUCCAGCACUUGGAAGGAAGAGGCAGGAGGAUCUCUGUGAGUUGGAGGCCAGCCUGGACUACAGAACAUCAGAGGAGAGCUUCGGAUCCCUUGGAACUGGAAUAACAGACAGUUGUGAGCAGCUAUGUAGAUGCUCAGAACUGAAGUUGGUCCUCUGCUAGAGAAGCAAGUGUUCUUAACCACUGAACCAUCUCUCCAGCCACCAAGGGAUGUGAUUAACCCAGCUAUACGUGAAGUCUCCCAAAACCUACAACAAACAAACAACGCUAAUGAAGCAUGGUAACAUCCUCCGACAAGCCUGAACUCCAGUGAAGGACAUCAUGUAGAGUCACGGUGCCCUUCUCCAUCAGAGCCAAAGCCCUCUGUGGACCAAUCCCAUCCUCGACCAAGUGUUGGAGACUCACAGUUCUCCUUACGGUUCAGGGCCCUCUUCUGCAGCUGCGUUGACUUGUCCUAAUUGUCAAGAGUCUGAAGAGGGGGAUGAAAACAGGAUAGGAUGUGAAGACAGCUUAUGAACUGUAAAGUAUUAUUAAAACCAAAGCCAUUACACUUAUUUUUUUUCCUUAAGGAAUUUUCCAAUCCAUUCCAUCCUGGAUUCAAAACAAAACAAAAACAACCAAAACCACUUUACUUUAUCCUGAAAUAUUUAAUAAGCUAUAAGAAGCAUUUUGAUUUGUGGGGAAAGAUGAAACCUCAAAUUGAAUUUCUAAGUGCUUGGUUUGUGUCUAUUACUAAUUUAUUUCUGUGUUAAACUUCAGAUGACGUGUGAUAAACAGUCUGUGUCACAAUGCUAUUGAUUGCCCUGCAUUACAAGCUGAAUUAAAUGUGCAUUAUCUUGGGGCUGGUCACCGUGAGGGAUGCUUUAAAAGGUUUUGAGGGAGAAUAAGUGAAGACCAUUAGGGUCCUCCAGACUCCGUCGCCCGUUGACCCCGGUCACCUGGGGAAGUUCUCCUGCAGUUUGGUUGCAUGUAUAUCUUUGUCUUAAUGCUUCCUCUAAUGGUUUCUAAUGGCUACUUGGACACACCACAUUCUUCGUAAAGAAAUAGCUCUCUCCCACAACCUUGUCUUGGGCACCUUCUAGAAAACUGGACCUUUGUGUAUAUCCGUGUCAAAUACAAAAUUCCAGGGUGAGUCUCUGCACUAGUCAUUCCUCUGUUGCUGUGAUAAACACCCAUGUCUGGAAGCAGCAAACAGAGGGAAGAGUUUAUUUGGCUUAUGGGUCCAGAGGAUAAUGGUGCGGCAUGGCCAGGAGGCAGGGCCGCAGGUGGCAGGCAUGGCAUCUGGAGCAGAAGCCAAGGGUUCACAUCUUGAACCCAAAGCAUGAAACAGAGAGCAGGCUGAAGA